rnacentral:rRNA from 1 species
ACAAGCGGUGGAGUAUGUGGUUUAAUUCGAUGCAACGCGAAGAACUUACCUGGUCUUGACAUCCCGGAGACCCUUAGGAAACUAGGGGUGCUUCCAUCUGGAAGAAUCUGGAGACAGGUGCUUGCAUGGCUGUCGUCAGCUCGUGUCGUGAGAUGUUGGGUUAAGUCCCGCAACGAGCGCAACCCUUGCCUUUAGUUGCCAGCAGUUCGGCUGGGCACUCUAAAGGGACUGCCGGUGUUAAACCGGAGGAAGGUGGGGAUGACGUCAAGUCCUCAUGGCCUUUAUGACCAGGGCUACACACGUACUACAAUGGCCGAUACAAAGGGCAGCGACACUGCGAGGUGAAGCCAAUCCCGUAAAAUCGGUCUCAGUCCGGAUUGGAGUCUGCAACUCGACUCCAUGAAGUUGGAAUCGCUAGUAAUCGUGGAUCAGCAUGCCACGGUGAAUACGUUCCCGGGCCUU